rnacentral:rRNA from 1 species
UACGUAGGGGGCAAGCGUUGUCCGGAAUCAUUGGGCGUAAAGCGCGUGUAGGCGGCCCGGUAAGUCCGCUGUGAAAGUCGGGGGCUCAACCCUCGAAUGCCGGUGGAUACUGUCGGGCUAGAGUACGGAAGAGGCGAGUGGAAUUCCUGGUGGUAGCGGUGAAAUGCGCAGAUAUCAGGAGGAACACCAAUUGCGAAGGCAGCUCGCUGGGACGUUACUGACGCUGAGACGCGAAAGCGUGGGGAGCAAACAGG